UACAGAGGGUGCAAGCGUUAUCCGGAUUUAUUGGGUUUAAAGGGUGCGUAGGCGGCUUUUUAAGUCAGGGGUGAAAGACGGUGGCUCAACCAUCGCAGUGCCUUUGAUACUGAAGAGCUUGAUUGAACUUGAGGUAGGCGGAAUGUGACAAGUAGCGGUGAAAUGCAUAGAUAUGUCACAGAACACCGAUUGCGAAGGCAGCUUACUAAGGUUUUAAUGACGCUGAGGCACGAAAGCGUGGGGAUCAAACAGG
rnacentral:rRNA from 1 species